rnacentral:rRNA from 1 species
GACGAACGCUGGCGGCGCGCCUAACACAUGCAAGUCGAAUGGAGUCAAGAGGAGCUUGCUUUUCUUGACUUAGUGGCGAACGGGUGAGUAACGCGUGAGUAACCUGCCCUGGAGUGGGGGACAACAGUUGGAAACGACUGCUAAUACCGCAUAAGCCCACGGAUCUGCAUGGAUCUGCGGGAAAAGGAUUUAUUCGCUCUAGGAUGGACUCGCGUCCAAUUAGCUAGUUGGUGAGGUAACGGCCCACCAAGGCGACGAUUGGUAGCCGGACUGAGAGGUUGAACGGCCACAUUGGGACUGAGACACGGCCCAGACUCCUACGGGAGGCAGCAGUGGGGGAUAUUGCACAAUGGGGGAAACCCUGAUGCAGCGACGCCGCGUGGAGGAAGAAGGUUUUCGGAUUGUAAACUCCUGUCGUUAGGGACGAUAAUGACGGUACCUAACAAGAAAGCACCGGCUAACUACGUG